GGUCUAACUUCCUGGCAUCUCCUAAUUAUUGUUGUUUCAAUAUUUGCAUCAUUUUACAAAUAAAAAAUGCAUCUCAAGAGGGGGGAGGAGAAACAAAUAAGUAGAAAAAGUACCGUCUACUUAUUUGCAACAAUUAACGUUAAGUAACUUAAUAGACAGGAUUAACCAAAAAAAUAAAAUCCUAAUAAUAGAAAGUACCGUCUUGUUCUUUUCCUUUCUCAUCAUAUCAUCCUUCAUAUGGAGGUUGACGAUUCUCUUGUCCCUCCCCCUCACGCCACACCUCCAAAACCACCAGACAUUCCCACAAAAGUCAGCUUCAAAGAGCGAUUGUUUGCCUCAGAGAAUGUAAUUGACAUGGAAGUUGGGGAAUGCAGUAAAUCCCCAAAAGCGGCAGAUAUUAAUACUCCAAGCUUAAAUGAAAUUUCCACCAACUUUACAACCAUUACCCUAUCCCACGAAGAAAAUCAGGGACUACAAGCUCCUUGAAAAUUUUCCCUUAUAAUAAAACUAGUUGAAAAACGCAAUGCACAUCAAUAUUUAAAAUCCAAAUUACAACAACUCUGAGAUUUUAUGGAUAACACUCCUCUUAUCGAUUUGGGAUCGGAUUAUUAUAUCCUCAAGUUUUCUCAUCCCCAUAAUAUGAAUACUGUGUUAUGUAAAGGACCAUGGUUCCUUUAUGGACACUAUUUAUCAAUUCAAAAAUGGGUUCCUAAUUUUAUUCCAGAGAAAGUUGUUCUAAUAGAGUCAGCUGUGUGGAUACGCCUUUCUCAUCUACCUACGGAAUACUAUGAUAGCAUGCUUCUCCAGAGAAUUGGUAAUUCUAUUAGUACGCUCCUCAAAAUAGAUGUCUGCACCAGUUCAACAUUAAGGGGAAGAUACGCCAGAUUAUGUGUCCAAGUUCCUUUUGAUCAUCCCUUGUAAAAUUGGAUUCGGAUUGGCUCGCAUCUACAACAAAUAAUCUAUGAAGCAGAUGGCUUUUUAUGCAAAAAUUAUGGGCGAUUAGGCCAUACAGUUCGCGACUGCAAUUAUAUCAUCACAGAGUCAACCCCAUCAGCUUCCUCGCAACUCUACCUCUCCAAAGUAGGUUAGCACAACACUGACAGCUUCCUCUCCGACCACUAAAGAACGGUGUACGGUACAUUUUCCCAGGAAGAAAAAGGUAUCUAUAGGUAAAAAGCAAAGUGCACAGGUUGUUGUUGAAGAAACUGUAGAAUCCAGUGCUCCGGCACCUCUUCCGUGAAGCAAAUGGUGUUGCUCACUUUUUGUGUACAAAGUCUUCCUGUCUAUCAACGACUAACAAUGUCACUCUUUUGUCGCAGCCUCCCCCUGAAGUUCUCCCUUUGCUUCAGCCUGACAACCAGGAAAAAGCCAUUAGUAGACUAGUUAAUAGUUCUAUAUGUAAUAAACUUGCUAGUUGGGGGAACCUUCUGUAAUAGCCAGUGCACAAGACACUGGUACCUAUCAUGUAACUAUCUAAGUUUUUGUUUUAUUAA